UAGCCUAGUGGUUAAGGCUAUGGAUCGCCAAUCCGGAGACGACGGGUUCGAUUCCUGU
rfam:Aedes albopictus isolate Foshan contig74317, whole genome shotgun sequence.